GCCAUCUCCCAAUUGUGGAUUCCCUGUAUUUGAGGCAGAGGAAGAUGAUGUUGAAAGGGAUUCCUGAUGAGAUUACCCGUCUUCUUGAGCACGAAAAGAAGCUCAUUCAGCUGUAUCAUGAGAAUCAGCAAAACAGUCAAACUGGGGCAUUACAAAUGUAAUAAAAAAAACAAGGAGAGGGGUGAAAAAAAAUAAAAGAAUAAAAUCAAAAUAAAAAAAAAGAAUAAGAGAAAAAAAGUAUACCCUCAAAUCCCUAGUUGAUUGAUGCUGAUUGAAUUCAG
rnacentral:lncRNA from 1 species